AAUUCCCUGCGGUGUUCGUAGAAAGCGAUCGGUAUUGAGCCAACACCUAUUUAAAGGGAGCCUGACUUUAGCGUGCGGAUGUAUGUCCUCGGGGUUAUCGCUGAGGAAAACAGUAAGCAUCUAAGAGGGCACCCACUUUGUGAGAACGGGUUCAAAUAUCGGCGUUACUACGGCACUCGCGGGGAAUUU
rnacentral:other from 1 species